GCUACGGACUUAAAAUCCGUUGGCUUUAUUGACCGUGAGGGUUCAAGUCCCUCUACCCCCA
rnacentral:tRNA from 24 species